UACAGAGGGUGCGAGCGUUAAUCGGAAUUACUGGGCGUAAAGCGCGCGUAGGCGGCUUUGCAAGCCGGGUGAGAAAUCCCCAGGCUUAACCUGGGAACUGCAUUGGAGACUGCGUUGCUAGAGUAUGGGAGAGGGAAGUGGAAUUUCCGGUGUAGCGGUGAAAUGCGUAGAUAUCGGAAGGAACAUCAGUGGCGAAAGAGACUGCCUGGACCAAUACUGACGCUCAUGUGCGAAAGCGUGGGGAGCAAACAGG
rnacentral:rRNA from 1 species